rnacentral:rRNA from 1 species
GGGUCAGUAGGUUGGUCGUGCCACCGGUACGUACUGGUCUCACUGAUUCCUCCUUCCUGAAGAACCUUAAUGCCAUUAAUUUGGUGUUGCGGGGAAACAGGACUGUUACUUUGAAAAAAUUAGAGUGUUUAAAGCAAGCUAACGCUUGAAUACAUUAGCAUGGAAUAAUGGAAUAGGACGAUCGAUCCUAUUUUGUUGGUUUCUAGGAUUGACGUA